AUCUGUCCGAAGAGUAUUGCCUGUAAAUUCUGCUGAAGGACUGUCGCUGUAAUUUACAAUGUGUGAGAGAUAAGAGAGCUUUUGUUUGAAAGUGUGCUGUUAAUUGCUGUUUAUUUUAACAGUUGAAAAAUAUCUUUGCUACCGUAAUGCUUGUACCCGGUCAGGGAAUAAAACCUUUUGACCGAGACUUCACAGUUUGCCCUCUGAAAGAAGAUGCUUGGCUGUAAAACAGCAUGUUGCCUGCAGGGAACGAGAAGCACCUCGGAGUGAAGAGAACCCUUCUAAAUGAACCACGAAAGGCAGAGAGACUCUGGAGAGUGCUAAUGAGUCUGGUUUUGUUCUUUUCUGCUCAAUCUGUUUACUGCAGUUAGGACUGGAUCGUAGCGUUUCAUCAAGACGAGAGCCUAGCUAGCUAGCUCUCUCAGAAUAUUCCCUCCUUACUCUCGAGACGUCUGUUGUCAAGCAUGAAACGGUAUCUUGUUAACCAGGUCCUUGGGAUUUACAGGGAAGCUGUGGAUAUUGUUUCUGGGCUGGCUGCACACUGUUUCCCCUUUGCAGCUCCAAGCUCUUCCCAAUCCUUGUCUUUGGACUUGGCUACCUCUUUUCCAUCUACAUCUUCAUUACACCCUCAAAAAUGCUCUGGCAGCCAUUGCUGCUUUUAACUGAACAAUGGGAAGGACUGCUCAGAUUGCUUGGGCCUUUGAGAAGUGGCACUUUCCAAAGUUCCCUAGCUGGCAACUGUCAAAGCCACCAUGGCUUAGUGGCUGGAGGAUAAGAUUAGGACCAGGGAGACCCAGGACUAGGCAUAAAAGUAUUUGACAAUAUUGGUUCUUUAAAUUUCUCAUUGUUCUAAUCUUAAAUUCAGUU